UGGUGGGCUGUUAAAUGAUACGUCCUACUGCUACACCCUGGAAGUCUCAUUCUACAGCUACAUCGUGGGUGGAACUACUGCUGCUGUCCCUUACACAGAAGAAGCAUAUAUGAAGCUUGGAAGGAAUGUGGCCAGGACAUUCUUGGACUAUUACAAGCUGAACUCCUUGGUGGAAAGACCACUGGCAGCAACUCCUAAAACUCGGAAAGAAAAGCUGCCAGUCUUUAAAUGCAACACCCAGCAAGGCCAGGGGACCAGCCAUGCUGACAGCAAGCCAGAGAAGAGAAGCCAGGCACACCUGAAGGACCAAUCGCUCCCUGCACAAUGAGAGGAGAAGAGAGGAAAGGAGGGCUGGACUGUGUGGCGAGGAGGAGGAGUGCAGCUGGAGCUGGAAAUGCUGAUAUUUCUCUUUUUUUUUCCCAGAUAAAUAUUUCUAAGGUAACAAAUAGUCCAAAGGGGAACGAAGGAGAGGGAAAUUAGCUAGAAAUUUUACCAUUGAUUCUUUUUUAUUUAUAGACGGUAAAUCAAUUUCAAGCCUUUUUUUUUUUUAGCUCUCAUCUCUGGGAAGAAAAAAAAGAAAAAAAAGAAAAAAGAGUGACCCAAUAGAUCUAGAGAAAUCAUUUGCGGUGGCUGAAAAGCUAUUUGUUAAAAUGAAAAAGUCUCCCCUUCCUCCACCAGCCCCUCUCUUUCAAAAAUUUCCCUCUCUUUUAAGGGGUAAUCCAUGCAAUGAGCAAAUGAGGGAGUCCUGGCUCCCCUGCUUCACCAUGUGAUGUCUCCCCAUUUAGUGUCAGGCUCAGAAGCUUUUAUGCCAAUUGCAUGUCCUA
rnacentral:lncRNA from 1 species